rnacentral:rRNA from 1 species
AGAGUUUGAUCCUGGCUCAGGAUGAACGCUGGCGGCGUGCUUAACACAUGCAAGUCGAACGAACCUUCGGGUUAGUGGCGGACGGGUGAGUAACGCGUGGGAAUCUGCCCUCAGGAGGGGGAUAACGGCUGGAAACGGCCGCUAAUACCCCAUAUGCCGAGAGGUGAAAAGAAAUUCGCCUGAGGAUGAGCCCGCGUCUGAUUAGCUAGUUGGUGGGGUAAGAGCUCACCAAGGCGACGAUCAGUAGCUGGUCUGAGAGGAUGAUCAGCCACACUGGGACUGAGACACGGCCCAGACUCCUACGGGAGGCAGCAGUGGGGAAUUUUCCGCAAUGGGCGAAAGCCUGACGGAGCAACGCCGCGUGAGGGAUGAAGGCCUCUGGGCUGUAAACCUCUUUUCUCAAGGAAGAAGACAUGACGGUACUUGAGGAAUAAGCCACGGCUAAUUCCGUGCCAGCAGCCGCGGUAAUACGGGAGUGGCAAGCGUUAUCCGGAAUUAUUGGGCGUAAAGCGUCCGCAGGCGGCCCUGUAAGUCUGUCGUUAAAGCGUGGAGCUUAACUCCAUUUAAGCGAUGGAAACUACAGGGCUUGAGUGUGGUAGGGGCAGAGGGAAUUCCCGGUGUAGCGGUGAAAUGCGUAGAUAUCGGGAAGAACACCAGUGGCGAAGGCGCUCUGCUGGGCCAUAACUGACGCUCAUGGACGAAAGCCAGGGGAGCGAAAGGGAUUAGAUACCCCUGUAGUCCUGGCCGUAAACGAUGAACACUAGGUGUCGGGGGAAUCGACCCCCUCGGUGUCGUAGCCAACGCGUUAAGUGUUCCGCCUGGGGAGUACGCACGCAAGUGUGAAACUCAAAGGAAUUGACGGGGGCCCGCACAAGCGGUGGAGUAUGUGGUUUAAUUCGAUGCAACGCGAAGAACCUUACCAGGGUUUGACAUCCUGCGAAUCCCUUGGAAACGAGGGAGUGCCUUCGGGAGCGCAGAGACAGGUGGUGCAUGGCUGUCGUCAGCUCGUGUCGUGAGAUGUUGGGUUAAGUCCCGCAACGAGCGCAACCCACGUCUUUAGUUGCCAGCAUUCAGUUGGGCACUCUAGAGAGACCGCCGGUGAUAAACCGGAGGAAGGUGUGGAUGACGUCAAGUCAUCAUGCCCCUUACAUCCUGGGCUACACACGUACUACAAUGCUACGGACAAAGGGCAGCAAGCUCGCGAGAGUUAGCAAAUCCCAUAAACCGUGGCUCAGUUCAGAUCGUAGGCUGCAACUCGCCUACGUGAAGGAGGAAUCGCUAGUAAUCGCAGGUCAGCAUACUGCGGUGAAUACGUUCCCGGGCCUUGUACACACCGCCCGUCACACCAUGGAAGUUGGCCAUGCCCGAAGUCGUUACUCCAACC